UAAUGUCUGGGAAACUGCCUGAUGGAGGGGGAUAACUACUGGAAACGGUAGCUAAUACCGCAUAAUGUCGCAAGACCAAAGUGGGGGACCUUCGGGCCUCAUGCCAUCAGAUGUGCCCAGAUGGGAUUAGCUAGUAGGUGGGGUAACGGCUCACCUAGGCGACGAUCCCUAGCUGGUCUGAGAGGAUGACCAGCCACACUGGAACUGAGACACGGUCCAGACUCCUACGGGAGGCAGCAGUGGGGAAUAUUGCACAAUGGGCGCAAGCCUGAUGCAGCCAUGCCGCGUGUGUGAAGAAGGCCUUCGGGUUGUAAAGCACUUUCAGCGGGGAGGAAGGCGUUAAGGUUAAUAACCUUGUCGAUUGACGUUACCCGCAGAAGAAGCACCGGCUAACUCCGUGCCAGCAGCCGCGGUAAUACGGAGGGUGCAAGCGUUAAUCGGAAUUACUGGGCGUAAAGCGCACGCAGGCGGUCUGUCAAGUCGGAUGUGAAAUCCCCGGGCUCAACCUGGGAACUGCAUUCGAAACUGGCAGGCUAGAGUCUUGUAGAGGGGGGUAGAAUUCCAGGUGUAGCGGUGAAAUGCGUAGAGAUCUGGAGGAAUACCGGUGGCGAAGGCGGCCCCCUGGACAAAGACUGACGCUCAGGUGCGAAAGCGUGGGGAGCAAACAGGAUUAGAUACCCCUGGUAGUCCACGCCGUACACGACCCUGGUAG
rnacentral:rRNA from 1 species